rnacentral:lncRNA from 1 species
CGUUGUAUAUAAAGAACUUAAGAAAGUACUGUUGCACAAAAUGUUGGUUAUCGUUCAAUCUCAAAUUACACAUGAAAGAUGCCGUUUUUGCUGUAAUUUUUUGUUUGAUGGAUAACAUUUUGGUUUAAACGUUGCAUAUCCUUAUUAUUGGCUAAAUAGUGUCGGUCUGCCUGAAUUGCACUAGACCGAUUCACAGAGCUGAAUCUUUCACACUUAUUU